UGCAACGAUGAAAGCCUCGAGUAGGAAGUGCCGUCAGAUGCGACAACUGACGAUACCUUCUCCACUUUUCUGAAC